rnacentral:rRNA from 1 species
GCUUUCUUCAUACGGUGGGUUGGUACAGAUUGCCGGGCUUCGGUCUUGCCUUCUGCCCUUCCCUUACUGAUUUUACCCAUGUCUUUUGCGUACUAUUUGUUUCCUUGGUGGGCUUGCCUGCCGAUAGGACAUCAUUAAACCUUUUGUAAUUGCAGUCAGCGUCAGAAAAACAUAAUAAUUACAACUUUCAACAACGGAUCUCUUGGUUCUGGCAUCGAUGAAGAACGCAGCGAAAUGCGAUAAGUAGUGUGAAUUGCAGAAUUCAGUGAAUCAUCGAAUCUUUGAACGCACAUUGCGCCCCUUGGUAUUCCAUGGGGCAUGCCUGUUCGAGCGUCAUUUGUACCCUCAAGCUCUGCUUGGUGUUGGGUGUUUGUCCCGCUUUUCGCGUGGACUCGCCUUAAAACAAUUGGCAGCCGGCAUAUUGGCCUGGAGCGCAGCACAAUUUGCGCCUCUUGUCAUGAUUGUUGGCAUCCAUCAAGACCAUUUUUUGCUCUUGACCUCGGAUCAGGUAGGGAUACCCGCUGAACUUAAGCAUAUCAAA